GAUGAACGCUGGCGGCGUGCCUAAUACAUGCAAGUCGAGCGAACAGAUGAGGAGCUUGCUCCUCUGACGUUAGCGGCGGACGGGUGAGUAACACGUGGAUAACCUACCUAUAAGACUGGGAUAACUUCGGGAAACCGGAGCUAAUACCGGAUAAUAUAUUGAACCGCAUGGUUCAAUAGUGAAAGACGGUUUUGCUGUCACUUAUAGAUGGAUCCGCGCCGCAUUAGCUAGUUGGUAAGGUAACGGCUUACCAAGGCAACGAUGCGUAGCCGACCUGAGAGGGGGAUCGGCCACACUGGAACUGAGACACGGUCCAGACUCCUACGGGAGGCAGCAGUAGGGAAUCUUCCGCAAUGGGCGAAAGCCUGACGGAGCAACGCCGCGUGAGUGAUGAAGGUCUACGGAUCGUAAAACUCUGUUAUUAGGGAAGAACAAAUGUGUAAGUAACUAUGCACGUCUUGACGGUACCUAAUCAGAAAGCCACGGCUAACUACGUG
rnacentral:rRNA from 1 species